UACGAAGGGUGCAAGCGUUGCUCGGAAUUAUUGGGCGUAAAGCGCACGUAGGCGGCUUUUCAAGUCGGAUGUGAAAUCCCUCGGCUUAACCAAGGAAGUGCAUCCGAAACUGGAAGGCUUGAGUACUGAAGAGGAUCGCGGAAUUCCCGGUGUAGAGGUGAAAUUCGUAGAUAUCGGGAGGAACACCAGUGGCGAAGGCGGCGAUCUGGGAAGAUACUGACGCUGAGGUGCGAAAGCGUGGGGAGCAAACAGG
rnacentral:rRNA from 1 species